UACAGAGGUCUCAAGCGUUGUUCGGAUUCAUUGGGCGUAAAGGGCGCGUAGGCGGCGGGGUAAGUCGGGUGUGAAAUCUCAGAGCUCAACUCUGAAAUGGCACUUGAUACUGCUCUGCUAGAGGACUGGAGAGGAGAUUGGAAUUCACGGUGUAGCAGUGAAAUGCGUAGAUAUCGGGAGGAACACCUGAGGCGAAGGCGGGCUACUGGGCCGAUACUGACGCUGAUGCGCGAAAGCCAGGGGAGCGAACGGG
rnacentral:rRNA from 1 species